AUUGUUAUUUUUAUUUUUUUUUUUUCAAUGAAUCCAAAAUAUUAGCAAAUAUUAAUCCCCACAUGAUAGGCUUACUGGCCUAUAAGGUAAUCACUAAGGUAGCCAUCCACAGUUAAACCUGAGGAUUUACUGUGCCACAUGUAUGUUUUAAAAUGAAAACAUUCAUAAGGCUACAUUUUUUUCAAACAAUUAUUAGGCUAUUUUAAACGCUUAGUAUUCCAUG